CCUCGUUAAUUUAAACUCAAAUCCUUGCUAACUCGGGUUCUACCGUAACACCUGUGUUCUAAAAGCUCACUCACACUCAAAUAGUGGAGGUUUAAUCUGAGCUUCCCUUGAGUGUCAGACAGUGCAGUUUUUGAAUAGCUGUACAAGGGUUAUACCGUAAAGCUCCGACUAUAAGACCCCCAAAUAUAAGCCCCCCCAUGUAUAAGCCCACCACAUGUACUAACGCUCACCUCAUUCCAAAUAUAAGCCCCCGCCCCAGAAUAUAAGCCCACUCGAAUGUAAGCCCAACGAAUAUAGGUCCCCCAAUUAAUAUAAGCCCAGUAAUCGCUGCUUAAUACAUGUUUACUCCCUGUUUA